CUUUAUUCCCUUCUACAAAGCCAGAGUUUUCUUUCCUUCAUUAUCUAAGCCUAAUAUUCCCAACUCAAACCCUAAUAAAAAAAACUACGGGUUUCUUCAUCGCAAAUUCAAACUUGGCAUUAAAUCCAAUUUCUAAAGGUAAGCGACGAAAUGAAACCUACAUCUGUAAUCAAAGCUGCGAUUUUCUUAUUCCCAAACCUUAACAAACAGACUUCCAAUUUUUAGAGGCAAGGAGACGAAUUGAAAUCAUAAAAUUUGUACUCUGCCCAUCAUUUUUAUUCAUUUAUUGGCUAUUGUUCACAAUGAAUCAGGUAACCAAGCAUUGAGAAAAUUGAAGUUUGGAGUUGGUCGUGGUGGUGGAAAUAAACUUUGAAGUUUUAUGAAUUUUCCUUUCAAAUUUAUUAUUUUAAGUAUCAUGAACAAGAAUUUUUUUUAGUUGACUUUCUCAAUUUACGAAAUGAAUAUUAAAUGAGUUCUCUUUUA